rnacentral:rRNA from 1 species
CCUACGGGAGGCAGCAGUGGGGAAUUUUGGACAAUGGGCGCAAGCCUGAUCCAGCCAUGCCGCGUGCGGGAAGAAGGCCUUCGGGUUGUAAACCGCUUUUGUCAGGGAAGAAAUCCUUUGAGAUAAUACCUCGGAGGGAUGACGGUACCUGAAGAAUAAGCACCGGCUAACUACGUGCCAGCAGCCGCGGUAAUACGUAGGGUGCGAGCGUUAAUCGGAAUUACUGGGCGUAAAGCGUGCGCAGGCGGUCUUGCAAGACAGAUGUGAAAUCCCCGGGCUCAACCUGGGAACUGCAUUUGUGACUGCAAGGCUAGAGUACGGUAGAGGGGGAUGGAAUUCCGCGUGUAGCAGUGAAAUGCGUAGAUAUGCGGAGGAACACCGAUGGCGAAGGCAAUCCCCUGGACCUGUACUGACGCUCAUGCACGAAAGCGUGGGGAGCAAACAGGAUUAGAUACCCUGGUAGUCCACGCCCUAAACGAUGUCAACUGGUUGUUGGACGGCUUGCUGUUCNGUAACGAGCUAACGCGUGAAGUUGACCGCCUGGGGAGUACGGCGCAAGGUUGAAACUUAAAGGAAUUGNGNGAGAGAGCGACGGACGACGACGAGGGAGGAGG